GCGGGUUUCGUCAAGUGGUUAAGACCACGGAUUGUGGUUCCGUUAUGCGUGGGUUCGAAUCCCACAACCCGCCCCA
rnacentral:tRNA from 1 species